UUUCUUCCAUUCAUAGUGUUAUAGUCCACUGUCUUGGUUUACAUUUAGUUUUACUGUUAAAAAAAGCUAGUAAAUGGCUUGUUUUUAAUGUCUUGUCUUUUAUCACCUUGUUCCUCCAGUUUGACAUCUGUUUUGCUUUGUAUGCUGGCUGUUAAGUAGAAGUGGUGGUUGCAUUUACGUAAUGUUUUUCUGCUCAAAGCUUUUGUAAACUGCUUUGAAUGAUCUGCAUCUGUGAAUUUGACUGCUGACGAAGCCUUCAUCCAAAAAUCCAAUGAGACCACCACAGUGGGAAUCUACGUCCUUAAAUUUCAUGACGGAUCUCAGGACAUCGGGAUUGUCCUUAAAGGCCAGAACGUCUUGCAAG